UUUUUAUUGGAUAUGGAGCUAAGAUUUUCAGAUUAAAAUUUUCAAUUACGAACUCCGAGAUACUAAGACCACGCUGAGAGGAAUCAAGCAUUGGUGCAGAGAGGUUCUGGCCACUGAACCAAGGGAAUCACUUGAAGAGAGGCAGGCUCUGAGAUUCCUUGGUGUGAAAUCUGGCCAUGGGAGGAAAUGGCAGAGUGACCCCUUCAUCAUCCUGAAGUGCUGGUUUUAGAUCUCUGCUGAGACUGAGCAAAUUGUCCAUCACCAAGUUUUCCUGAAUUUUCUUCCUCUAAGAAACACUCUGGCCAGAUGU